ACACUGUAUUACAUGAUACUCCUAUCAGAAAAAUCACAGUGUCACUUUUGCAUACUCAAUAAGAAGAUCAUGAUGACCAAAAUCCAUUGGGCAGUUUUUUACAGGAUUUGCUUAUUAUUUAGAGUUCCAAAAGUUAGAGAAAAAGAACAGGGCUGAACCCAACCCAACAGCUGGGUUCCAGAAAUGACCACGACCUCGGGACCCCCAUGUUCUUCCUCAAUCUCUCUCUUUCACCGCUUUUACUUUCUCUCGUAAAAUCAAAUGAUUAUGUUCAUCGUCAUCAACAAUAUAUCACACGAAACCCGCAAAAGAAUUGUUGUAUUGAAGGAAAGAAUAACGGAAAAGUGAAGAAGGAAGAUCAAGGAAGAUAGUUUCCAGGUGGGAAGCUUUUCUUGUUGAGGGGAAUGUUGUCUGGUUCAAGAGCACCCAACUCUCCAUCUAUUUUGAUCUGUUUCGAGCCUAAAAACUGAUUAGCUUUCAAGAUCAAUCGAAAGAUAGUCUUAUUCCCUGUUUAAUUUGUGCUCUUGGACCAGGCUUCAUUCCCCUUAAUUACUGCUUCCACUUUUAAUAUUUUUACAUGAAAGUACAGUGGUUUUAUUCUUGGAUUUCAUCGAUCACCAGUAGCAUGAUUAGUUUAACAGUUAGUUACAGGUCUCUCGGGGAAAUCAAAAGGAAGAAUAAUAGUAAGCUGACUAGUUUCCUAAUUCCUAUCCUACAUAUAAAUUAAGGAUUUUGCUACAUCUUGUUGCUGGUGGUAGUUGUUGGAUUUGCAGGAGGCUCUAUCAUCUCGCCCUCUUGGCACUAAUAAUUCAUGUUUGUCUUGGAAACAAGUACAUUAAAUUGCAUUUUUAUUUCUUUUGGAGGCCUUAGUGGAAGACAAAGAGCCCAACUUAAGAUUUGAAGCUUCAUCAAGUGGAGAUAUAUUCUCCAGAAUUGAUUCCAUUCAGCUGUGCUUGCUUUCUUUAUGUUAAAAGGAGGUAUCUUUCUGUUCCUAUCUUUUGAAACUCCUUUUCAUGGCCUUCUAGUUUUUCUUGUGGAUGGAAAUCUAUCUCAUCUAUACAUUAUUCCUUGGAUCAAUCCAAAAGGUUAGUCUUACCCGGCUUUACCCAUAUGUUAAAUAGAGAUUUUGUAUAACCUACUUAGUUAAAAGAUGUUGGCUAAUGAGGUGGAAGAAACUUUGAUCACAGUGGCAUGACUUUGUCUGUUUUAUCGCGUUGAGAAAUUUAAUAGUUGAAGUAAACAUCAGUUACCAAUGAAGUUUAGA